rnacentral:sRNA from 1 species
UCUGGAGUCCGCGAGACCGCUCGGUCGGCCGCAACGAGACGAAAGUCAGAUGAGGGACGUGAUAACGGGAUGCCACAAAGGGGCAUCGUUAUACCGGAAACCGUUACAGACCUGAGGCGAAAGACAAAAGAGACAAGGACUGUUUAUGGUUCUGUACUGCUUCUGAGAUCUAUUGAUAAGGGGGAUUAGCUCAGCUGGCUAGAGCACCUGCUUUGCAAGCAGGGGGUCAACGGUUCGAAUCCGUUAUUCUCCACACGAGAGAACAUUGACAUACUGGAAGAAAGGAAACGUCAACUGCAAGACGGAAGUCUUCGGAAGACGUGACCGAGAAAAUAAACGAGUAAAUCAGAAACGAGCGAUCGGGCGACCUAAAAAAAAGGUAAGUUCGAACGACGAAGCGACGGACGGCGGAGUUGAAAGAUUCCGCAGGUCAAGCGACAGAACAAGGAAAGGAGAAAAGGGCACAUGAAGGAUGCCUAGGCUCUUGGAGACGAAGAAGGACGUGACAAGCUGCGAAAAGCCGCGGGGAGGGGCAAAUGCCCGUUGAUCCGCGGAUUUC